rnacentral:rRNA from 1 species
AGUGAACGCUGGCGGCGUGCCUAAUACAUGCAAGUCGAACGAUGAAGUCCUAGCUUGCUAGGAUGGAUUAGUGGCGCACGGGUGAGUAAUAUAUAGUUAAUCUGCCCUACACAGAGGAACAACAGUUGGAAACGACUGCUAAUACCUCAUACUCCUAUUUGACAUAAGUUAAAUAGGGAAAGUCUUUUCGGUGUAGGAUGAGACUAUAUCGUAUCAGCUAGUUGGUAAGGUAAUGGCUUACCAAGGCUAUGACGCGUAACUGGUCUGAGAGGAUGAUCAGUCACAUUGGAACUGAGACACGGUCCAAACUCCUACGGGAGGCAGCAGGAAGGAAUAUUGCGCAAUGGGGGAAACCCUGACGCAGCAACGCCGCGUGGAGGAUGACACUUUUCGGAGCGUAAACUCCUUUUAUCAGGAAAGAAUAAUGACGGUACCUGAUGAAUAAGCACCGGCUAACUCCGUG